UUUCCGAGGGAGGGGUGUGGCAACUGUGCCUCCAAACAGUGUUUUUAAAAUUGUACUUACUCCACUAGGAAAUACUCCAGGAAGUUCCCUACCCAUUCUGCCAGGAGUGGACUAAAAUUUGGGGAGUGAGACAUUUUUGUUCUCCACUUCUAAAAGCACCGAAGGAGUGGAUGUCUCUAAGCGACUGCGCGUCUUGGGACUCGAGGAGGGGAGCAGUCAGUGCAGCUGGAUGCAACUGAAAAGGUUCCGUUGUCCGGCGAGGUCCGGUUGGGGAGUUAUGGAGAAUGUCCACUACAGCGGCAAAACCCCGCUAAGUGCCGCUGACAAGGUUAAAACGGAAGCACAUCUUGGCUGGAGGCGUUCGGACAGGGCUGAGGGGACCUCUCCUCCCCCCGAGAUUGAAGCUCUGGGUCCUCUCACAAAGAUAUGCAGCACAUACAGGUCUUUCUGAUGGCUGAGACUCUUGACAGAGACAAUGAGUCAGAGAUGCAUAAUAAUCUGGAUCAGGAUGCAAACAUUGACUGUUCAGAUUCACAAACCUUCAAUGGAACAUUUCAUUUGGACUCAGAAACCACUGGAAACAACAGAAGUCUUCAGGAAAAACUCCAACAGAAGGUUUAGUGUUAAAAAUGACAGUGUGAACUCCAGGACUAAAUGUACAAUGUCCAAUCUGCUCCAAACUUCACAUGUUUGAUAAUAGUCCUAGCCUGAAGACAUCUACAUGGUAAUGUUCAGUUACAUUUAAAGCGCCACCUGUUGGCAGCAGGAAGUGUGCCACUUUUAAAUGACUUUGCCAUAAUUCUCCUGUAUUUUCUCGCUUACAUGUCGCCCACUGUUCACUGAUUUCCUAAGGCCAACGGGUGGCGGUGAGCCCGGAUGCGAGGGCCCUUUCAUCACUGCUUGCAGCUUUAAUUUUAUCUGUAACACUGUUACACAACCACCAUGCAGAUUAGCAGGAUUCUUGAUCAAGUUUUUAUUUUUACUGUGUUACAUUGUUGUCUUUUAGAAUUGGUGUACCAAGUCUGUGCAAUGGAAAUUCAAGUGCUGGCAUUGUUGUAUCAGCAGUGUUUUAAUCUGUGCAGUUACCAUCAUCAUCAUCAUCAUCAUCAUUAGCAUUGGAGAUAGCAUCUACUGUUCUGGAGAGACGCAUAAUAAUCUGGAUCAGGAUGCAAACAUUGACUGUUCAGAUUCACAAACCUUCAAUGGAACAUUUAAUUUGGAAACCACUGGAAACAACAGAAGUCUUCAGGAAAAACUCCAACAGAAGCUCGUUGAAAUAUACAAUUCUUCUCAUUUGAGGUCUUGUUUGUGCAGUUCCAGAAUAAACACAUUCAGGAAUGCAAAGGUUACCUUUGAGCUGAAGUUUCAACUGCCCCAGAACGGUAGUCAAUGCCAAGAACAAAACACCAUGAAUGUAUAUUUUGUUUUAUAUGCGUAUAUCAGGAAUCAAAACAGCAGUGACCCUCUAAAGAUGAAACUCCCCUCCCUAUUAAUUUUCUAAAUGAUACUGUUGGGUUCAUUUUCCUCUGGGCUAGAGCAGGGGUUCUCAACUCUGGCCCUCAAGGUCCACUUUCCUGCAGAGUUUAGCCAGAGAUUGUAUAUUAUAGGGAGAUAAAAGGGUCUGUAUCUCUUACCAUUGGAGAAAGUGUAAUGCUAACUUAAUCACUUGCGGUACCUCUUAGCCUAUCGUGUAAUGGUAGUGACAUCAGUCGCAACUUUCCCUAGUCUGCCUUCUCUUUAAAAAAUAAAUUUUUAUCAAGCUAAAAUAUACAUAUAGUUCCCAACAAAAGUAUUGUUUAGUGCAAAACAUGCUGAAGAUUAGCAAACAGGCUGUCGAUUAAUUAAAUGAUUAGCUAUUUCUCCACAAAAGCUGUUUAAUCAGCAUAGUGAAGCCUCUCAUCUGUUGACAUCCAUUCAAAAAACAGCCUCUGGUCUCCUUUCCUGAGUACCGCCAAAGGUGGAGCGUUAGCAUUAGCCGUUAUGCUUUUUUGGCUAAAGGUUGCAUGCUUGCCUUCCAGUGGCUUUGGUUUAGCUCCAACCCUAAUCAAACACCUGAACAAGCAAUUUAGGGUGCGUUCACACUUGUAGUUCGGUUCGUUUGGUUCGUUUGGUCGGGACCAAAGAAGAAAAAAAAACAUUUAGUCCUGGUCCGAUUAGCGUUCAGAUUGGCAAUUUUAUUACCGAACAAAAAGAUACCGAACCUAAAGGCAUAGGGAUACGUUCACAACCUGAUUGGUCGGAUUUUAUGACGUAUUGCCAACUUACCGAACAUCCAAAACAACACUGUGUGCUGAGGUAAAUGUGCGUGUUUUGUGUGUGUGUAGCCUGCAUAUGAUGGUAUUUUGGCCAGCUGGGAACCCGUGAAGAGCUAAUAAAAUGUGUAAAGGAGUCAAAACAGCGGCGGGAAUCCAUCCGUCACACAAACGAUCUGCUGCGUGGGUGACGCGCGUCUGAUGCCUGUCAUGGGCAAACUCGCGACUAUGAUGAAAAAAAAAACGAUAUGCGUGAGGAUUCUGUCCUUUUUAGGGUCUCGUCUUCCUGUUUUUGGUUCGUUUACAUGUCUUUGGUCCGUGUUGCGUUCAUAUAUCAUUUGAACCGCACCAGAGUUUGUUUGGAAGCGGACCGAGACCCAUCUUCUCAGCGGUCUCGGUCCGCUUGUUUGGUGCGCACCAGGGUUCGGAUGGCAGCGUUCACAUAUGUUCAAAUGAACCGCACUAACAGAGCAAUCGCACCAGGGUUCGUUUUAAGCGAACCAAACAUAGCAAGUGUGAACGCACCCUUAAUGUCUUCAGGAUUACUAUGCUGCGUCCCAAUUCAUCUACUUAUACUAUGACCUAAAAAUAUGUACGUUUUGGUGAAGAAAAAAUACAUACUUUUGAGUGUUGCAGAAGAGUAUAGGCAAGCUAAUGUAUAUAAAUCAGGGAUUGGCAACUCAGGCCAUCGAAGUCCACUGUCCUGUAGCGUUCAGCUCCAAUCCUGAUUAACAGUGACGCAGUAUACUCUCAGGUCUAAAUAUCAGAUGUCUGACAGGCAGCUUAGCAUAAUGAAUAUAAAAUGUUUACAUAUGUCCCUUUUAUAAAAACAAUUUGCUGCUAUUCUAUGCUGCUGUCCAGUGUUUUCACACGAUAACAUGGUUACAUUUCAUCAUGUUAACAAAUGAUUACUUUCACUUAAUAUUUUAUUAACAUUUACAAUUUACAAAACAUGUUUUUAUACUGUAUGUCUCUUUUUUAUAAACAAUUUGCUGCUAUUUUAUGCUGCUAUUUUAUGCUGCUGUUUAUUGUUUUCACAUGAUAUGUUACUGAGUAAUAUAAGGUAAUCAAUGGGUUAAGGUUAGGUUUAGGGGUAGGUUCAUGGUUAGUACGUAGUUAUUAAGCAGUUAUUGCAAUUACUGUAAUAAGUACGUAGUACAUGGUGAACAGGACUGUAAAUUGAAGUGCUACUGAAUGUUUUUGUGUAAUAGCUUAGUUUCUGGUAUUUACAGUAUAGUGUAAGGAAAUGCUCUUAUUUUUUUCAUGAUGAUAUUGUAUUGAAAAUUUAAGGCAGCUGUUUCUGUAUGUGUCAUGACAACAGUGUUUGGAUUGUUUGAUUGCAUAUAGAGCUACUUGAAUAUGAUCUAAUUGUACCAUGUUUUUUUUUUUUUUUUUUUUUUUUUUUUUGAGUUCUCCCUGUCUCUUUCAUGCUGCUCCCCUCCUGGAGAGAGAUAAUAAAUCAAGUUGAAUUUCAGUAAGUUAACACACAUGAAAUAUUUGUGGUUGGAAAUACAAAUUUUAAAUAAAAAAAAUAAAAAAAUAAAAAGAUGCCUUGGGUGGAGUGUGACCAAUAAACAUGUUUAGAACAAUGUGUGUUUUUAAAAAUAAAAGCAAUAAAAGGCAUUAAAAUAGAAUGGUUAUAUGUACUUUCUAAAGCAUCUUAAGUCAGCAGUCUAAGAGUUCUUACAGAAUAUUAGUAAUACCCAAGAAAAUGUUAUGUAUGUAUUUAUGUUUGUAAUUUUUUCCAUAUUAAUCUUUGUAAUAUCAUAUUAAGAUAUCGUCAUUUUCUCAGCUAUCAGAGGAAGUAAUAAGUCAUCAAAGGCACAAACUGAAUUGAAACUGGGAAAGUAACUUUAAUUUUUCAUUAUUGUGAUAUAGAAUUCUGUACUGCACAUUAUAUACUGUAUGAUACACGUUAUAUAAACAGAACAAUUUUAAGUUAGUCUGCUGUUUCUAGUAUGUAGACUGUUAGACCUUUUGUCACCUGGUUACUUAAUUGUAAAAGCCAUGAAUGGAUUUCGGAUUUCAAGUAGCUAUUCUAACUAUGGCAUUUACACCUGAAUAUUUGCAACUGCAUAUCCACAACACCUCCAUGAAAGUCCAUUAACUGUUCGGUGCUUUUCUUAAUAAACAUCAAUUUGAGUUUGUA